AACGAACGCUGGCGGCAUGCCUAACACAUGCAAGUCGAACGAGACCUUCGGGUCUAGUGGCGCACGGGUGCGUAACGCGUGGGAACCUGCCCUUAGGUUCGGACUAACUCCCCGAAAGGGGUGCUAAUACGGGAUAAUGUCUUCGGACCAAAGAUUUAUCGCCUUUGGUUGGGCCCGCGUUGGAUUAGCUAGUUGGGAGGGUAAAAGCCUACCAAGGCGACGAUCCAUAACUGGUAUGAGAGGAUGAUCACCCACACUGGGACUGAGAGACGGCCCAGACUCCUACGGGAGGCAGCAGUGGGGAAUAUUGGACAAUGGGCGAAAGCCUGAUCCAGCAAUGCCGCGUGAGUGAUGAAGGCCUUAGGGUUGUAAAGCUCUUUUACCCGUGAUGAUAAUGACAGUACCGGGAGAAUAAGCUCCGGCUAACUCCGUG
rnacentral:rRNA from 1 species